rnacentral:rRNA from 1 species
GAUGAACGCUAGCGGGAGGCCUAACACAUGCAAGCCGAGCGGUAUUUAUUCUUCGGAAUAGAGAGAGCGGCGUACGGGUGCGUAACACGUGUGCAACCUGCCUUUAUCAGGAGGAUAGCCUUUCGAAAGGAAGAUUAAUACUCCAUAAUAUAUUGAGUGGCAUCAUUUAAUAUUGAAAACUCCGGUGGAUAAAGAUGGGCACGCGCAAGAUUAGAUAGUUGGUGAGGUAACGGCUCACCAAGUCGAUGAUUUUUAGGGGUCCUGAGAGGGAGAUCCCCCACACUGGUACUGAGACACGGACCAGACUCCUACGGGAGGCAGCAGUGAGGAAUAUUGGACAAUGGGUGAGAGCCUGAUCCAGCCAUCCCGCGUGAAGGAUGACGGUCCUAUGGAUUGUAAACUGCUUUUGCACAGGAAGAAACAACGCUACGUGUAGCGUCUUGACGGUACUGUGAGAAUAAGGAUCGGCUAACUCCGUGCCAGC